AUCAUUCUAACGUUAGUUUUAUUACCUUCUUUUAUUCCAGCAUUUCCCAUCAAACCUCUGAAAAGCGACUGUAGUCAUCGCCAGACCUGUACGGAAGAAACUCCGCCUCCGCAACACCCUCUCAUAUCACAAAAGCCAUCCGAAGUUGAUGAGCGAAGUUGAGAUCGCCCUCACCCAAAAUUGGAUCUCCGCUUCCGUUCCCUUGGUACUUGGGAGUUCACCCUCCUAUCUGGACUGGACGACGGUCGUAAACGCACAAUGAACGAAGACUGAAUCCAUUGCGAGCGCGUGGCCUGGCAGUAAUACCGAUACGGCAAAGUCGUCGACACGCAAUCAGAAUAAUGAUGAUCAUGAUCUGCCCCCGAUGGUGAAACAAAGGCCGAAUUCCGCGGUGCCGAAUUAUUAGCAAAACACACAGAAACGAUAAUUCAGAACGACUUUUGCUUGUUCACGGAACUUUCCGCGAUCAAAAAACCCCACCGAAGUCAACGAUCUUCAACGGAGCCCGCGGCAAGCGUAUGAUCCGUUAUCUCGUCGUCGUCGUCGUCGUCCGCCCUCUGAUUAGCCCGAAGCUCGAGCUUAAGCUCCUCAUUGCUGUAGUGUAGUCGUCAUUUUUCGAUGUAUUCGAUGUAAUUAGUGUACAAUCGGUUCAUUGUUUCUUAAUCGUAGCAAGCGGUGCUCGUCCGUUUGUUAUCAUCUCUUCGUGGCGUGAAAGCAGGCAGGCAGUCAACGCUCCUCUCGUCAGAUAUCUCAUCAGCCGUCGCAGUUUGCUUCGAUUGCCGUCGCUGCAGUGUUUGUGUAUCAAUGUGAAAAAGUUAAGAAAA